ACAAUUUGAGGAAUGAUUUGAAGGAGAUAAUGAAGCCAUGCAGGAAGCAUAGCUGCAUCUGCUUCUGGGGAAGCCUCAAAAAACUUCCAAUCAUGACAGAAGGCAAAGGGGGAGCAAGACUUCUCACAUCGUGGGAGCAGGAGCAAGAGAGAGUGAGGGGCCCCAUGCUACACACUUUCAAACAACCAGAUCUCGUGAGACAUAUAUUAGGAGAACAGCACCAAGGGGAUAGUGCUAAAUCAUUCAUGAAGAAUCCACCCUCAUGAUGCAAUCACCUCCCACCAUGCUACCCCUCCAACACUGGGGAUUACAACUGGACAUGAUAUUUGGGUGGAGACAUAGAUCCAAACCAUAUCAUCAGGCAAAGCCAUUUCUUCAAGGAAACUAAAUUUCUGCUUAUACUUAAUCAAAGGUAAACAUGUGCAAGGUUUAGAAGAUUCAUAAGGGAAAUCAACCGAGAUAAAACAGCAUUCUGAA
ensembl:lncRNA novel transcript